rnacentral:lncRNA from 1 species
AUGCCCAAAGGAAAGAAGGCUAACUGGAAGAAGGUGGCACCAUCCCUCACCGUUGUGAAAAAGCAGGAGGCCUAAAGCGGUCAAUCCUUUGUUUGAGAAAAGACCCAAGAACUUCAGCAUCGUGCAGAACAUCCAGCUCAAAAGAGCUCUCACACAUUUAUUCAAAUAGCCCUGCUCCAUCAGGCUGCAGCAGCAAAGGGCCAUCCACUAUAAGCAGCUCAAAGUACCUCCUGCCAUUAAUCAGUUCACACAGGCCUUGGAAGGCUCAGCUGGUUGUGAUUGCCCAUGAUGUAGACCCCAUUGAGCUUCUUUUAUUUCUCUCUGCCCUGUGUUGAAAGAUGGAGGUCCCCUACUACAUCAUCAAAGGAAAGACCAGGCUGAGGAGGCUAAUCCAGAGAAAAACAUGUACCAUUGUUGUCUUCACACAGGUUACUUCCCACAGGUUAACUUUAAAGACAAGGGUGCUCUGACUAAGCUGGUGGAAGCUAUUAGGACCAAUUACAACCACACGAACCAUACGAUUAGAUCCACUGCUGCUGGGGAUGCAAUCUGUGGCUAUUAUUGCCAAGCUG